AAUCACGGCGAAACACCGGAAAUCACCAUAAAUCACUGGGCCUCCACCAGAAAUCAUCAAAAAUCACCGUGCCCCACUGCAAGUCACCAUUACGCCCUGGAAGUUACCAAAUCCCAACAAAAAUCACUGAGCCUUAGCCAAAAACCACCAGAAAUCACCAAACCCCACUAGAAAUCACAAAGCACCUGUCUGAAUUCAUCAAGCCCCAUUUUAAAUCACCAAUCACCCACCGGAAGUUACCAAGGCCCCACCGGAAAUCACCGAACCUGGCCUAAAAUUACUGAACCUAGCCCGAAAUCACCGAGCCCUGCCAGAAAUCACCCCCAAGCCUCACUGGCAAUCACCGAAUCCCACCAGAAAUCUCUCAGCCCUGUCUGAAAUCAUCGAGCCCUGCUGGAUAUCACCAAGCCCUUGCCAGAAAUCAUAUAACCCUGCCAGAAAUUACCACACUUUACCGGAAAUCCAACACUGGGAAUUGUGAUGGCCCUGCUGGUGAGGGGCUCAGGGCAGGGAACGUGGGAGCAGGAGUAGUCCAUUCAGCCCCUCAAGCCGCUCUGCCAAUCAACUAGAUCAUGUCUAAUCUACCUCAACGCCAUUUUCCGAAUAUCAAGAACUAGAGGGCAAAGAUUCAGAACAAUUGGCAAAAGGAGUAAAUGUGAUCACGUUGAGGUUGUCAAUACCAGUUUAUUCCAUUUGCUCUGCUGUAUGACAGACAACGUGCUACAAGGACACAAUCUGCUCCUCAAGUGUUGACCUAAUCCAGUGCUGCCAUUCCCAUGCUGAGCUGUGAACACCCUAAUCUCAGUGAACUUCUUGGAACACCUUUUUGAGGCAGAAACGAGAAUUGUGUACAGAGGAUUCUUCAGGGACACCAGCUUCCAAGGGAACGUUAUCAGGUGCUUCAUAUGACUCAAAACAUCAUUAUGUAAUGAAAUGCCCAAUGCUUAACAGCAGUGUUUUUGAAGUGACACAUGACACAGAAUUUGGAAGUUGGAGAUGAUGACAGUUUGAGUAAACUGUGCUAGUUACAAGAAGCUUGAGUCCAUUAAUGAGCGUAAUAUUUGGGGAUUCAUUCAAAUGUGCCAGAUUGGAUCUUGGCUUCAGCUCGACCUUGUGUGGGAAGGAAGAAGAGAAUCUAC